rnacentral:rRNA from 1 species
ACGAACGCUGGCGGCGUGCUUAACACAUGCAAGUCGCACGGAAAGGCCCUGCUUUUGUGGGGUGCUCGAGUGGCGAACGGGGGAGUAACACGUGAGUAACCUGCCCUUGACUUUGGGAUAACUUCAGGAAACUGGGGCUAAUACCGGAUAGGAGCUCCUGCUGCAUGGUGGGGGUUGGAAAGUUUCGGCGGUUGGGGAUGGACUCGCGGCUUAUCAGCUUGUUGGUGGGGUAGUGGCUUACCAAGGCUUUGACGGGUAGCCGGCCUGAGAGGGUGACCGGCCACAUUGGGACUGGGAUACGGCCCAGACUCCUACGGGAGGCAGCAGUGGGGAAUAUUGCACAAUGGGCGGAAGCCUGAUGCAGCAACGCCGCGUGCGGGAUGACGGCCUUCGGGUUGUAAACCGCUUUCGCCUGUGACGAAGCGUGAGUGACGGUAAUGGGUAAAGAAGCACCGGCUAACUACGUG